rnacentral:rRNA from 1 species
UGAUCAUGGCUCAGAUUGAACGCUGGCGGCAGGCCUAACACAUGCAAGUCGAGCGGAAACGAGUUAUCUGAACCUUCGGGGAACGAUAACGGCGUCGAGCGGCGGACGGGUGAGUAAUGCCUAGGAAAUUGCCCUGAUGUGGGGGAUAACCAUUGGAAACGAUGGCUAAUACCGCAUGAUGCCUACGGGCCAAAGAGGGGGACCUUCGGGCCUCUCGCGUCAGGAUAUGCCUAGGUGGGAUUAGCUAGUUGGUGAGGUAAGGGCUCACCAAGGCGACGAUCCCUAGCUGGUCUGAGAGGAUGAUCAGCCACACUGGAACUGAGACACGGUCCAGACUCCUACGGGAGGCAGCAGUGGGGAAUAUUGCACAAUGGGCGCAAGCCUGAUGCAGCCAUGCCGCGUGUGUGAAGAAGGCCUUCGGGUUGUAAAGCACUUUCAGUCGUGAGGAAGGUAGUGUAGUUAAUAGCUGCAUUAUUUGACGUUAGCGACAGAAGAAGCACCGGCUAACUCCGUGCCAGCAGCCGCGGUAAUACGGAGGGUGCGAGCGUUAAUCGGAAUUACUGGGCGUAAAGCGCAUGCAGGUGGUUUGUUAAGUCAGAUGUGAAAGCCCGGGGCUCAACCUCGGAAUAGCAUUUGAAACUGGCAGACUAGAGUACUGUAGAGGGGGGUAGAAUUUCAGGUGUAGCGGUGAAAUGCGUAGAGAUCUGAAGGAAUACCGGUGGCGAAGGCGGCCCCCUGGACAGAUACUGACACUCAGAUGCGAAAGCGUGGGGAGCAAACAGGAUUAGAUACCCUGGUAGUCCACGCCGUAAACGAUGUCUACUUGGAGGUUGUGGCCUUGAGCCGUGGCUUUCGGAGCUAACGCGUUAAGUAGACCGCCUGGGGAGUACGGUCGCAAGAUUAAAACUCAAAUGAAUUGACGGGGGCCCGCACAAGCGGUGGAGCAUGUGGUUUAAUUCGAUGCAACGCGAAGAACCUUACCUACUCUUGACAUCCAGAGAACUUUCCAGAGAUGGAUUGGUGCCUUCGGGAACUCUGAGACAGGUGCUGCAUGGCUGUCGUCAGCUCGUGUUGUGAAAUGUUGGGUUAAGUCCCGCAACGAGCGCAACCCUUAUCCUUGUUUGCCAGCGAGUAAUGUCGGGAACUCCAGGGAGACUGCCGGUGAUAAACNNCGGAGGAAGGUGGGGACGACGUCAAGUCAUCAUGGCCCUUACGAGUAGGGCUACACACGUGCUACAAUGGCGCAUACAGAGGGCGGCCAACUUGCGAAAGUGAGCGAAUCCCAAAAAGUGCGUCGUAGUCCGGAUUGGAGUCUGCAACUCGACUCCAUGAAGUCGGAAUCGCUAGUAAUCGUGGAUCAGAAUGCCACGGUGAAUACGUUCCCGGGCCUUGUACACACCGCCCGUCACACCAUGGGAGUGGGCUGCAAAAGAAGUAGGUAGUUAA